AGUGAACGCUGGCGGCGUGCCUAAUACAUGCAAGUCGAACGGAGUGGCGCACGGGUGAGUAAUGUAUAUCUAAUCUUCCCUACACUAGAGGCCAACAGUUGGAAACGACUGCUAAUACUCUAUAGUGUAGGAUGAGGCUAUAUUGUAUCAGCUAGUUGGUGAGGUAAUGGAUCACCAAGGCUAUGACGCAUAACUGGUCUGAGAGGAUGGUAAGUUACACUGGAACGGAGACACGGUCAAGACUCCGACGGGAGGAAGCAGUAGGGAAGAGUGCUAAAUGGGGGAGACCCGGAAGCAGCAACGACGCGUGGAGGAUGACGCUUUUAGGAGCGUAAACACCUUGUGGUAGGGAAGCGGUACCUAGCGAAUAAGGAACGGCUAACGCCGUGCCAGCAGCCGCGGUAAUUC
rnacentral:rRNA from 1 species